GAAGAUCCCAUGGGUCGUACUUGUACAGGUCAAUUUCAGCAAUAAUCGGGACAGCAAUCGGCUGCGACGCACAUUUUCGACAUAGGUAGUGCAUCACAAGCUCUUCAUCAGUUGGAUGGAAUCGGAAUCCAGGAGGCAAUUGCAAUUCUACCGCUGCCAUUUUUUCACAAUGAUUUUGACUUGCUGUAUUUGUGUAUUUAUUCCGGAAUCCAGGAGGCAAUUGCAAUUCAACCGCUGCCAUUUUUUCACAAUGAUUUUGACUUGCUGUAUUUGUGUCUUUAUUUUUCUUUUGAUUGAUAGGUAGUGUGUGUAGUAGAUAACUGAUUACAGUGAGAGGCGCUCUGAAAGUUGAAACACAGAACAGUAGAGGAUGAAGGGAAUAUAUAGCAGGAGAGAAGGACACGUGGCUAGAGAAGGCGGCGGGUUCUAGAAUAAACGUGUG
rnacentral:lncRNA from 1 species